CGUAGGGUGCGAGCGUUGUCCGGAAUUACUGGGCGUAAAGAGCUCGUAGGUGGUUUGUCGCGUCGUCUGUGAAAUUCCGGGGCUUAACUCCGGGCGUGCAGGCGAUACGGGCAUAACUUGAGUACUGUAGGGGAGACUGGAAUUCCUGGUGUAGCGGUGAAAUGCGCAGAUAUCAGGAGGAACACCGGUGGCGAAGGCGGUCUCUGGGCAGUAACUGACGCUGAGGAGCGAAAGCAUGGGGGAGCGAACAGGAUU
rnacentral:rRNA from 1 species